rnacentral:rRNA from 1 species
CCUACGGGAGGCAGCAGUGAGGAAUAUUGGUCAAUGGACGAGAGUCUGAACCAGCCAAGUAGCGUGAAGGAUGACUGCCCUAUGGGUUGUAAACUUCUUUUAUAAAGGAAUAAAACGAGGCACGUGUGCCUUUUUGCAUGUACUUUAUUAAUAAGGAUCGGCUAACUCCGUGCCAGCAGCCGCGGUAAUACGGAGGAUCCGAGCGUUAUCCGGAUUUGUUGGGUUUAAAGGGAGCGUAGAUGGGUUGUUACGUCAGUUGUGAAAGUUUGCGGCUCAACCGUAAAAUUGCAAUUGAUACUGGCAGUCUUGAGUACAGUUGAGGUAGGCGGAAUUCGUGGUGUAGCGGUGAAAUGCUUAGAUAGCACGAAGAACCCCGAUUGCGAAGGCAGCUUACUAAACUGUGACUGACAUUGAUGCUCGAAAGUGUGGGUAUCAAACAGGAUUAGAGACCCCUGUAGUC